GACGAACGCUGGCGGCGUGCUUAACACAUGCAAGUCGAACGGAAAGGCCCUGCUUUUGUGGGGUGCUCGAGUGGCGAACGGGUGAGUAACACGUGAGUAACCUGCCCUUGACUUUGGGAUAACUUCAGGAAACUGGGGCUAAUACCGGAUAGGAGCUCCUGCUGCAUGGUGGGGGUUGGAAAGUUUCGGCGGUUGGGGAUGGACUCGCGGCUUAUCAGCUUGUUGGUGGGGGGGUGGCUUACCAAGGCUUUGACGGGUAGCCGGCCUGAGAGGGUGACCGGCCACAUUGGGACUGAGAUACGGCCCAGACUCCUACGGGAGGCAGCAGUGGGGAAUAUUGCACAAUGGGCGGAAGCCUGAUGCAGCAACGCCGCGUGCGGGAUGACGGCCUUCGGGUUGUAAACCGCUUUCGCCUGUGACGAAGCGUGAGUGACGGUAAUGGGUAAAGAAGCACCGGCUAACUACGUG
rnacentral:rRNA from 1 species